CUCCGGACCUGUUUCUCCGGACCUGUUUCUCCGCCUAACGGCGACCUGUUUCUCCGGACCUGUUUCUCCGCCUAACGCCCGAGCUGUUGCUCCGCCUAACGCCUGACCUGUGCUCCCCUCACGCCCAGCCUGUUGAUCGGUGGACGGGUAAGCGCGCAUGGCAUCGGAAGGAGCUCGAAAAGUAUAAGGUGAUGACAAUGGAUAAUUGCGUGAAAAUCAAACUAAAAGAA